rnacentral:lncRNA from 1 species
CUGGGUGUAAGGAUUCCCACUGUGGCUCUUCACAUGAUGGAACUGUUUGACACAACUGUAGAGCAGCUGUAUAGCAUCUUCACUGUAAAGGAGUUAACAAAUAAGAAGAUCAUCAUGAAAUGGAGAUGUGGGAACUGGCCAGAAGGUAUGUUACUAAUUACUGCCCUUCAUAUUAAAGGUCCCAAAACACUAAGGCUAGGUUUUUCGUAUGGAUAAAUUUUCCUUUUCAUAAUGCAGUAAUAAGGUUCCUAUUUUUUUUCUUAGAACACUAUGCCAUGGUUGCACUGAAUUUUGUGCCUACUCUAGGGCAAACAGAAUUACAAUUGAAGGAGUUCCUAUCUAUCUGUAAAGAAGAGAACAUGAAAUUCUGUUGGCAGAAGCAGCAUUUUGAAGAAAUAAAAGGUUCACUGCAGCUGACCCCCC